AUAUGGAGACAAAAUUUUAUUACGGUGUCAUAUUAUGUCAAUCAUGUAUUUUCUGUUUAUACACCAGUUACAGAUGCUUCACAGAAGGACUUGUUAGUUGUUGACAAAUACAUUAAUAAAAACUUAAAAUGUCCUUAUAUCUGCUUACAAGUACAUUAUAGUGUGUUAUGUGUUUUAAACCAUUUGUAAAUUGUUUAUAUAUUUCUCAUGAAUACUAAACUGUAUAGUUACAUUUUUAGUGACAUUUUAUUUUUUGGAUACACACAGGUUGUGAUUUGAGAUUUUUACAUUGCUAACAGACUCACAUCUUUACUUGCUGAACAAAUAUAAAGUACAAUCAGUUAUUGCUAGUAAAAGCAAUACAACAUUAAUUACAUCUCCUCUUUAAUUUGUUUCUGUGGCAUAAUACAGUUAAGUGAUGAUUGAUUUCUAAAAAAACAAAAACAAAAACAAAAAAACAACCAGAGGCAUACUUUGCCAGAGGAUCCAUUUGUUAAUAUUGCCAGGUUGUAUCUUCAAAUAUUGAGAUUGGAAGGUGGAACUUACAAGGAGACCUAAAAUGUGGCACAAAACAGUGUGAUCAUCCUCUCAACAGGAACAUUUAAUUUAAUUCAGCUGGGCCACACGGGUGUUUUGAAAGCAUCUUUCUUUGCUCUCAUACAAUGUAAAACAUCAAAACCAGAGCAAACAGUUAAUAACUCCCACAGCGUCAGUAUGAUAGUGAGCAGGCUUUUGAAACGGUAUCGGUGCAGUGGAGAUGGCUGAAAAUUGCAGGAAGAGGGUGUAGAGCUGAACUGCUGACAGCAGGAGUCACAAUACAUUAGCAGAUCGUCCAACUGGCUGCUCUUUCUGCAUGACAUUCCCACUGUACUGAGUUGAAUUGUUAACACACAUUGUUUGACAUUGUCACAGCUACAUCUUUUUUCCCCUCUGUAGGCAGGAAAAUUGUGCUCCAACAGGGUUAUGAGACAGGUGGAACUCCUGCGUUUGGCUCGCAGUUUUGCAUGUUUGUAAAUUGCCACCAGAAGUGAAUAAAAUGGUCCCAUGUGUAAACUCCAGCUCCGCAGGCCCACUUCAGAGACCUGAGAUCAAUUUUGGUGCAUUUAUUCUCUGAGAGAGGUUCACACAAUGGGAGUUCGGGGAAGAUCAGUUUUCAAUUGGAUAAUAGGCUUGUGAAAAGAGGGGAUCUAGAGGGCAUUGCUUUCACACAUUCUUAUGGCUUCAUAUCUGUGUAACACGAACCGUGUACCACUUCGGCCUCAACACCUCCAUAAGCCUUUUUUUCCUUAAAUCAAAUUCAAUUUGCACCUACAGCACUGCUACGUCUUUCACUACUAUAUUGUCAGACCAUAUUGAAGCUCUUCUUAAUGAGAUAUUCAAACAUAUAAUCAAAUUGAAUGAAAUUAUGUCUCUGUUUUCUUUUAAUUUUACAGUCAUUCGCAUCAAGGUUCUAUUAGGUUUCAACCAAAGCAAGACGGUUUAGAUUUUUUCCUCAAAAUGUAUGUAUCUAUCUGUCUAUCUACCUUCUAUCUUAUUUGACUGUAUUAACAUUAGUGGACAGAGCAGCUAGUCGAGGUCUAAAAGGUGCCGCUGACACUGUCCUCCUCUGCUCUCCUUUAACCCACUGCAGCCACUAGAUGGGGUAUGAUAACCACAGAGAGGCUCUCCCAGUGGGAUGCCUCCAGCUCUGGUGGGUGCUGCUACUCAUGGGAGAGAGCAUUUUGAAUCACACGGAGGGCAGCGUCUUCCUCUUCACUCACCACUCCACAGGGUUCAUCAUCCAUCCAGCUCGCCUCUUUCAUCCACGAAAUAUAAGAACAACAGCUAAGAGAGAUUUUACAAAACAGAGAUUAUGUGAGUCUACAGUAAUAUUACAAGAUAUUCUGACAGUAUAUAACUGUUUAUUUAUGUUGGUUGUGGGAUUGAUGUGAAAUAUGUUUCUUUUUUGUUCUAGUUCUAGUUAAGUGAAAAAUCCAAAAUAUACAUUUCUCUACUACAGUUGUUUCUACCUCCUUCUCCUAUGGCCAACUCUGUCUCUUUGUAUAUCAAGAAAACAAAUAAAGAGAAAGAUGGGGCAUCACAAAAAAUUGUUUUUGACAUGAAGCUGUUGCAUUAGUAUUUUACAUGUAACAAAGAAAAUAUGCUACCUUGAAAAACCCUCAUGUUGCCCUCAAAAUAUACAUUUCAAGUCAAACUGAACCUGAAGCUACUUAUGAAGGUAACCAUUUAAAUAAAUAACUAUUGUUAACUAUUGUAAUCCAUUUAAAUAAAUAAGAAUAACGUUUUACAACUUUUAUGUAUCUUUAAAUGAUUAUUUGUGAUUACUGCAGAUGCAUGUGAAUUCCUUUACUGAAUUAACUGGAAUAUUCAGUGAUGUAGUUAUACGUUCCUUUAAGCCAUAGAUGUUUUAUGAAACAUUUUUGUCAAAAGGAUGAACACAUGUAGACAUGUUUAAAAUGUAAUUAUAAUUUAUGCCCCUUUUCCAUAGUUUGUAUAAUUAAUUUUAAUUCUGAAUGUGCUUAAACACUGGUAAAACUAAAUAAAAGUUCUUUUAUUUUUCA